CAAAACCUGGUUGAUCCUGCCAGUAGUCAUAUGCUUGUCUCAAAGACUAAGCCAUGCAUGUCUAAGUAUCAUCCGAAACUGCGAAUGGCUCAUUAAAACAGUUAUAGUUUACUUGAUAUUGCAUUUUACAUGGAUAACCGUAGUAAUUCUAGAGCUAAUACAUGCGUAACGCCAAACUUCUGGAAUGGCAGUAUU
rnacentral:rRNA from 1 species